GCGCUGUGUGGAGAUGACGUCAUGGCCUCACUCUUAAAGGGGACGCAGGUGAAAUCAAGGGGUCGCGGGGCGCGAUGUCACCUGUCCGGGAAGACGUCUUCCCGACCGCCAGCACCUCCGACCACGCUCCUUCGCUCCUUCGCGAUCGCGCAGUCCCCGAGGAGGCUGGCGCUGGCUGUUAAACCCGAAGCAUGUAUUGCGCACGGAGGAAGGUCCUUUCUCCUGUAACAAUUACAAUUUAGUGGUGUGGACACGGAGGAACCUAGCCAAGUUUAUAGAGCUAGCAACCGCUGGGAUUCGCACGUGGGCAGCUUCUAGCCGCCCUGGAGUCAAAGGCUGUAACAGUCCUGAAUUCGCUUACCAAACUGAGCCAUAGUGAUUUGCCUCUAUAUCUGCCUUUCCCACUAGACUGUGACAUAAAUUGGAUAAGAUUGGAGACCACCAUACAGAAAAGUGCAGAAACCCUAAGUGUGCAUUCAGCGUAUUGUUACCAUGUGGACGCACAUGUAACCAUCACUGAGCUUAAGCAGCAGCAUGACCAGCACUUCAGCGGCCACCAGCAGUCAGUGCCCCGUUUCUCCUCCUAGGCGGCCACCCUCCUGAAUUUAACACCACACGUUCGUUUGGCCAAUUUCAGAACUUAGUGCAAAUGGAGUCGUAGGCAUGUAUUCACUUGUAUCUGGUGUCUAUGCAUUCAUAAAAUGGCUCAGUGUACAGCCGUUUAAGUUUAUACAGGAGUUCUAUAUAAUCUGAUAUGAAACACUAUCAGGACAUAUGGUUAAAUCAAAGCAAAGAAAGCCGGACAAAGUGUCCAGAAUAUUGUAUGUGUGAAUGGCUCUGAAGAGCAGAUGCAACACCUUCAAGACUCUAAUAUGAGAAAGGGACCAUUGGUAGAUGUGUGUGAAUGAGGGGAGAAUUCUUUUUGCAAAAUAAACUUUUGUACUGAAUUGUU